CAGCAUUGAAGAACAUAGGGAUUA
rnacentral:miRNA from 1 species